rnacentral:sRNA from 1 species
AAAUAGCUAGCGUUAGCGAUUGAAAAGGCAUCCUUUUUUUGUUUAAAAAAAGAUAUAGUGUAAAGCGCGACCCUUG